ACUAUUAUUUUCCCAUUUUCUCUUUUUUUUUAUUCAAGUAGACUCUCAGUUUUUCGUUUCGCUGGGAAAAACGCUAUUCUCCCAAUAUAACACCCGUUGCCUCCAUUUUUUUGGGUCAAGAGCAGCCCCCAUCCGUUAUGUCGUUUUCAAAUAUUUUUUAAUCCAAAUCAUUGUUAACAAGUCUCCCUUUAAAAUACGAGUUUUUCAAAAAAUUUUAUGUUUUGAAAUCCAUUAAGAAAUCCAAAUUUUUCAAAAGAUAAAGUAAUUUUUUAAUGGAACCAAUAUAAAUCCACAUUUUAUAUUGUUUAAAAAAACUUCUUCCCUGUAAUUUUAUCUCCUCAUUAAUUUAAUACCCUUGAAUUUUUGUUUAGAGAUAAGCAUAUUAAAAGUGGAAGUAAAUUAAUAAAUCGAUUUAACAAAAAAUUUCCCCAACAUGUGCCCUUAAAAAGGUGUAAUAUAUUCUCCAAAAAAUAAUCCAUCAAAAUAACCAUAUAUUAGUUUGAGUUAGAGGAAGAGUACGUCAAUAAAAAAAUUUUUGUUCUUCAUAAUAUAGAGCGUCAUUAU
rnacentral:lncRNA from 1 species